rnacentral:misc_RNA from 1 species
GAAAAGAACUAAUUUCUGGGAAACUUAUGAGAAUAGAAAAAGGAGGAAAAAAAUCAGCAUUGACUGAAAGAUUGUAAAGUCCCAUAAUGGCAGAAAAUGAUCUGUGGCUUUGUAACCUUUCUUGGGCUUUGAAAAUCAAAAUUCACACUUCCUUUAAAAUUUAGAUAAAUUUUUGGAUCUUUGAACUCCAACCUACAAUGCAGGGUGUGUGAUUGCAUAAUUUCCUAAAAUUCAGACAUAAACAUGAAGGUCAACUUUAAAAGAGAAAUGAGUUAAUAAACCUGACAAAUUUCAAAGAUCUAGAGGCAAGGUUAUG